CCUACGGGGGGCUGCAGUGGGGAAUAUUGGGCAAUGGGCGCAAGCCUGACCCAGCGACGCCGCGUGAGGGAAGACAGCCUUCGGGUUGUAAACCUCUGUUGCAGGGGAAGAAGGAAGUGACGGUACCCUGCGAGGAAGCUCCGGCUAACUACGUGCCAGCAGCCGCGGUAAUACGUAGGGAGCGAGCGUUGUCCGGAAUUACUGGGCGUAAAGGGCGCGUAGGCGGCGCUUCAAGUCGUCUGUCAAAAGCCGAGGCUCAACCUCGGCGCGCAGACGAAACUGGAGAGCUUGAGAAGCAGAGAGGCAAACAGAAUUCCUGGUGUAGCGGUGAAAUGCGUAGAUAUCAGGAAGAAUACCAGUGGCGAAGGCGGUUUGCUGGCUGCAUACUGACGCUGAAGCGCGAAAGCCAGGGGAGCAAACGGGAUUAGAUACCCCAGUAGUC
rnacentral:rRNA from 1 species